GUGGGGAAUCUUGCGCAAUGGGCGAAAGCCUGACGCAGCCAUGCCGCGUGGAUGAUGAAGGUCUUAGGAUUGUAAAAUCCUUUCACCGGUGAAGAUAAUGACGGUACCCGGAGAAGAAGCUCCGGCUAACUUCGUGCCAGCAGCCGCGGUAAUACGAAGGGGGCUAGCGUUGCUCGGAAUUACUGGGCGUAAAGGGCGCGUAGGCGGACAGCUUAGUCAGAGGUGAAAGCCCAGGGCUCAACCUUGGAAUUGCCUUUGAUACUGGCUGUCUUGAGUUUGGGAGAGGUGAGUGGAACUCCGAGUGUAGAGGUGAAAUUCGUAGAUAUUCGGAAGAACACCAGUGGCGAAGGCGACUCACUGGCCCAAUACUGACGCUGAGGCGCGAAAGCGUGGGGAGCAAACAGGAUUAGAUACCCGAGUAGUCC
rnacentral:rRNA from 1 species